GCGAAUUUCUCACAUAUGGCUACAUUUACGCCAUUUUUGGGAUUGUAGUUUCGAUUUAUCGUGUGAUUGGAAGUUCGCUGUACAUCGGUACAAAGACUUCAAAUGGCCCCGAUAACAGCACCGAUACGAAUUACACGAUUGAGUACCAUCCAUCUGCAGAACUUUCUUCGAUGUUAGUGACGUUAACAUUCUUCAUCAUACUUUUUGUUGGAGUUCACAAGAAAAACACUGCCCUGGUGAAAAUCUACAAAGCAUUUCACAUCAUAACCUCGAUACUGCUUUUCAUUUUACUAACCAUCGGACUUCUUGUGGUGGUUGGCUUUUUGACAUCUUCGAGCAAAGCGCUGGGUGUUGCAAUUUUAUAUGAAUUGAUGAUACUUUUGGGCGUUGACAUCGCCAUUUUCUUUCUAGGUAGAUGGAUUACACUACUCGACAAAACAAAACUUGUGUCAAGGGAUUGACGAUAUCUCAUCCGUU